GUGGUUAUGAUGAAUUCACCAGAACCCUGCAAAUUCAAUUUACACUCUAUAGUAAUUACAUCAUCGUUUUUUUUUUUUUUUUUUUUUUUUUUUUUUUUUUUUUUUUUUUUUUUUUUUUUUUUUUUUUUUUUUUUUUUUUUUUUUUUUUUUUUUUUUUUUUUUUUUUUUUUUUUUUUUUUUUUUUUUUUUUUUUUUUUUUUUUUUUUUUUUUUUUUUUUUUUUUUUUUUUUUUUUUUUUUUUUUUUUUUUUUUUUUUUUUUUUUUUUUUUUUUUUUUUUUUUUUUUUUUUUUUUUUUUUUUUUUUUUUUUUUUUUUUUUUUUUUUUUUUUUUUUUUUUUUUUUUUUUUUUUUUUUUUUUUUUUUUUUUUUUUUUUUUUUUUUUUUUUUUUUUUUUUUUUUUUUUUUUUUUUUUUUUUUUUUUUUUUUUUUUUUUUUUUUUUUUUUUUUUUUUUUUUUUUUUUUUUUUUUUUUUUUUUUUUUUUUUUUUUUUUUUUUUUUUUUUUUUUUUUUUUUUUUUUUUUUUUUUUUUUUUUUUUUUUUUUUUUUUUUUUUUUUUUUUUUUUUUUUUUUUUUUUUUUUUUUUUUUUUUUUUUUUUUUUUUUUUUUUUUUUUUUUUUUUUUUUUUUUUUUUUUUUUUUUUUUUUUUUUUUUUUUUUUUUUUUUUUUUUUUUUUUUUUUUUUUUUUUUUUUUUUUUUUUUUUUUUUUUUUUUUUUUUUUUUUUUUUUUUUUUUUUUUUUUUUUUUUUUUUUUUUUUUUUUUUUUUUUUUUUUUUUUUUUUUUUUUUUUUUUUUUUUUUUUUUUUUUUUUUUUUUUUUUUUUUUUUUUUUUUUUUUUUUUUUUUUUUUUUUUUUUUUUUUUUUUUUUUUUUUUUUUUUUUUUUUUUUUUUUUUUUUUUUUUUUUUUUUUUUUUUUUUUUUUUUUUUUUUUUUUUUUUUUUUUUUUUUUUUUUUUUUUUUUUUUUUUUUUUUUUUUUUUUUUUUUUUUUUUUUUUUUUUUUUUUUUUUUUUUUUUUUUUUUUUUUUUUUUUUUUUUUUUUUUUUUUUUUUUUUUUUUUUUUUUUUUUUUUUUUUUUUUUUUUUUUUUUUUUUUUUUUUUUUUUUUUUUUUUUUUUUUUUUUUUUUUUUUUUUUUUUUUUUUUUUUUUUUUUUUUUUUUUUUUUUUUUUUUUUUUUUUUUUUUUUUUUUUUUUUUUUUUUUUUUUUUUUUUUUUUUUUUUUUUUUUUUUUUUUUUUUUUUUUUUUUUUUUUUUUUUUUUUUUUUUUUUUUUUUUUUUUUUUUUUUUUUUUUUUUUUUUUUUUUUUUUUUUUUUUUUUUUUUUUUUUUUUUUUUUUUUUUUUUUUUUUUUUUUUUUUUUUUUUUUUUUUUUUUUUUUUUUUUUUUUUUUUUUUUUUUUUUUUUUUUUUUUUUUUUUUUUUUUUUUUUUUUUUUUUUUUUUUUUUUUUUUUUUUUUUUUUUUUUUUUUUUUUUUUUUUUUUUUUUUUUUUUUUUUUUUUUUUUUUUUUUUUUUUUUUUUUUUUUUUUUUUUUUUUUUUUUUUUUUUUUUUUUUUUUUUUUUUUUUUUUUUUUUUUUUUUUUUUUUUUUUUUUUUUUUUUUUUUUUUUUUUUUUUUUUUUUUUUUUUUUUUUUUUUUUUUUUUUUUUUUUUUUUUUUUUUUUUUUUUUUUUUUUUUUUUUUUUUUUUUUUUUUUUUUUUUUUUUUUUUUUUUUUUUUUUUUUUUUUUUUUUUUUUUUUUUUUUUUUUUUUUUUUUGUUUUUUUCAUUGGUCCAGCUUUAGCAACGGAUAGCACAGGGGCGAGAGGAUCAGGGGGGCCAGACAGACUGCAGCUACACAAGCAAAGCGGCACCG
rnacentral:lncRNA from 1 species